AAACAGAGCAAAGAAGAAGAAAGAAAAACAGAGCUGGGUGAAAGAGAAAUGAAGAAAGAAGAAAGAUACCUAGCUGGUCACAGACGAUGGAAGAAGAAGACGAUGGAACCAAGCCCUAAUUUUGGUCGAUUGGAGCAACUGAAGGGAGAAGAAGGGUAGCGUAGUAUAAACCCAAGCCCUAAUUGAAUAAUUAUAAAAGCUGCCUGUUUUAAUUUGUCUUAUAAUCAAAAUAGCGACGCCUUUCCUCGCCACUCGCCUCGCUUCGCCACUCGCAACAGAGGCAGAGGCGCACGCUAUUCUGCCUCGCAACGCAACAGCCCCCUGUGUGGCGCUAUAGCCUCGCCUCGCCUCGCUGCACGCCUUUAGCGUUGUAGCGAGCGCUAUUUACAACACUGAGUCAUACAAGACCUUUAUAAACGUAUUUGCAUGCUCUUAUAUGCCUGAUACAUUAUAUAUUGGCUACACGCCUUUAGCGCUGUAGCGAGCGCUAUUUACAACACUGAGCAUACACCAAGGCACAUUCCCUUGAAUAUGUCGGGUUAGAGCAUCCAUCACCAAGGCAAAC
rnacentral:lncRNA from 1 species